GCGCGGUUAUUUGUUUGCUUGUUUUUGUUUGAAUUGUUUAAUAUUUUUUCUGGUUUCAUGAGCUGUUUCUUGUUUGGAGCGUUUUAGCAAUUGCAGAUGACGAUUUAUGACGAUUGAUGACGAUGAUGAUUAAAUGCGAUGAAUAUUGAAUGGAUUAGUAAAGUGCCGAAUUUCUGGACUGGACUGGACGAUACUGACGGAGAGGCCUUUGACUGGAGAUUUGUUAUUAUGAAUGAAAUGUAUUUUAUUUCUGUAUUCCAUUUUUGCAUUGUAUGAAAUAAAUGUAUGAAAACAUUGAAAA